CUAGCACCUUCCCAGCCAGGAUUUAUCUCUACUAUACUUUGAAGAAUCACGCCAUGCAGAGUUAUUUUAUGAACAGGGGAGGGACAAAGAGAGGAGGAGGACAGAGCAUCUGAAGCUGGCUCUGUGCUGACAGCAGCGAGCCUAAUG
rnacentral:lncRNA from 1 species